rnacentral:misc_RNA from 1 species
GAUGAAGAACGUAGCGAAAUGCGAUAAGUAAUGUGAAUUGCAGAAUUCCGUGAAUCAUCGAAUCUUUGAACGCACAUUGCGCCCGCCAGUAUUCUGGCGGGCAUGCCUGUCCGAGCGUCAUUUCAACCCUCGAACCCCUCCGGGGGGUCGGCGUUGGGGAUCGGCCCUGCCUCUUGGCGGUGGCCGUCUCCGAAAUACAGUGGCGGUCUCGCCGCAGCCUCUCCUGCGCAGUAGUUUGCACACUCGCAUCGGGAGCGCGGCGCGUCCACAGCCGUUAAACACCCAACUUCUGAAAUGUUGACCUCGGAUCAGGUAGGAAUACCCGCUGAACUUAAGCAUAUCAAUAAGCGGAGGA